UAGGUCAGGUUCUUCAUUCAUUCAUCCAUCC
rnacentral:piRNA from 1 species